GUACGGAGUGGCUCGUGUAGCGCUAGAGCUGGGCAGAGGCAGGAGCGUGUGGAGGCUCGUGGGGCCGAGGGGAGGCUGCGGCGCUCAUGCUGAGUACCUAGGGUUUCUAAAAUUAGGUUGGGCUUUGGGUUGAGUGAUUUGGGUUAGGUCUUCUGAUUUAGCGGGCUAGGCUAGUUGGGCUUAAUGGGCUGGGGACAUGUAUUUGGGUUAGGUCUUCUGAUUUAGCAGGCUAGGCUAAAUUUUUUGUUGUAAUUUUGGGUUGUUUGGGCUCGGUGGGUCUGUAAAUGGACAUUUGGACUGUUAUUAAUUUUGUUUGGUUUAUUUUUGUUUUUUAUUUGAUUUUAUAUUACGGGCCGGGCAAAUUGGCCUAUUACAGCUACCCCUCUUUGAUCAUUAUCGUGUAACGGGAAUGAAGUAAAGACUAAAAAAGGGCCAAUUUUGCCCGGUCGUGCUGGACCUCUGCGCUCUUCUUCUUCGAGUUGCCUCAUUCCAUCCUACUGCAUCUUCAGAGGUGUAGGAAAUAGUGGUUCGGUCUACUCCACUACAACUUCAGGGAGAUAGGAUUAUUGAAUUCAAUCUGCUCCACUGCAACCUCAAGGAGUUAAGAUUUGCUUCUUCAGUCUGCCCCACUGUGACUUCAGGGGGAUAAGACUUGUUUUCUCAGUCUGCUCCGCUGCAACUUCAGGGAGAUAAGACCCGAUACGAUCUGCUCCACUACUGCUUAGGGAGAUAAGAUCUAUUGUUUUAAUCCACUCCACUGUAACUUCAAGGAGAUAGGAUUGAUUUCUUCUGUCUGCUCCACUACUGCUUAGGGAGAUAAGACUUGUAAUUUCCAACCUAUUCCACUACUGGUCAGGGACAUAGGACUUGUGGCUUAAAUCUGUUUCCCUACUCCUGGGGAAGAUAAGAUUCACCGUCUUCGAUCUGCUCCACUAGUGCUUAGGAAGGCAAGAUCUGCUAUCUUUAACCAGCUCCACUACAACCGAUGGAGGCAAGGCUUCGUUUUCGAUCUGCUUCGCUGUUAAUGCAGGAAGGAAAAAUCUGCUAUCUUUAACCAGCUCCACUACAACCAAUGGAGGCAAUGCUUCGUUUUCGAUCUGCUUCGCUGUUAACGCACGAAGGCAAGAUCUGCUAUCUUUAACCAGCUCCACUGCAACCGAUGGAGGCAAAGCUUUGUUUUCGAUCUGCUUCGCUGUUAACGCAGGAAGGCAAGAUCUGCUAUCUUUAACCAGCUCCACUACAACCGAUGGAGGUAAGGCUUCGUUUUCGAUUUGCUUCGCUGUUAACGCAGGAAGGCAAGAUCUGUUAUCUUUAACCAGCUCCACUGCAAUCGAUGGAGGCAAGGCUUUGUUUUCGAUCUUUACUGAUCUGUUCUCUGGGGAACAUGACCUGUAUAAUGAACCUAAUUAUGCCUAAUGAUUAGGAUGGCAUGAUCAAAAUGAAUCAAAUGCUCCUAACUAGACAUGUGUGAAUGGUGUUUGCAUGAAUGCCGAAUUUAUUUAUUUUGAGAAUGAUCCCUCUUAGGUUGUCAUUACUCGAAGUUUAUUAAGGCUUUGUGACUGACGUGCUACGACGCCUUCUCGCUUGACUGGCUUUUCUGAAUAAUCACUUAGUCGGACUGCCCCCACUGUAAACCUCAAAGUUUAAUCCAUUGGGGCGCAAAAUUUGUACCAUCAUUCUUCCAUCGUAAUCCAAGGGUAGAAAUAUGACUUUUCCUCAAUCCUCUCUUAUCCAAUUCAAGGAUACAAGGUCUACAUCGUUCUGGCUCCUUACACCAUUCUCAGGGUGUCGUACCAAAGACUCAUGCGUAAAUGAGGGCUCUCUUCCCCUAGGUAACCUCUUCCUAUUGCCUGAUGAUCAUCGCUUGCUUGUUUAUGACAUCUUGUCAUUUUGUUCAAUCAAUGCAUUUGACCACAAAAUCCAAAGAGAUAGUCCAAACCUAGACUCUUCCUUCCCAAAUUUCCAACCUUUAAAUUUGGUGUGUUCUAAACAAUAGUCUUGUUUCAGGUCCCUAUAUUAUUUAGAAACUUUUCAAAGUAAUAUGCAAAACUUCCUUUGUGAAAUUUUUAUUAGUCCAUUAAUCAUUAUUCCAAUGCAACAUGUUUGCAAAAAAGGGUCAUAACAAUAGAUAAGAAUAAAGUUGGUUCUGAGCAUAGCUCGAAAGAACAAAUUAUCAAAAAUAGUAAAGAAUGAUGACAAAGAAAUUAAUUGGGAAUGUAUAUCUUGGAAAGGAAAAAAAGUAUUCCAAUAAUAACAAAUAAUAUGAGAAUUGGGUGCCCCAGAUACCGCAGCUUGAACUUCUCUGUACAAACUUUCUGAGGACCAUUUUGAGUUGGACAUGUGUUUAGGAGAUCUACAGUGCUCUGUCGAUGCCCCAAGAUGUCGCCUAUCAUUUCCUGUUGAUUCAGGCAUAGCUAGAUCACCACAUGCCUAGUCUGAUCCAGAUUCGAGUUGCUUUGAUUACCUCAUGCCCCACUUUAAUCAAUAUUUGAGCCGCUCUUUUCGAGUUUUCAACUCAAAUCCCCUUUGGCCUAAGGUGCCCUUUGCGGGUUUUCCCCUUAGCCUCUCCAUUUUACUCUUUCAUUUUUCAUUUUUCAUCUUCUUCUUUUUUUUUAAAUCCAUUGUCUUACAGUACGGUGACAAACCGUGGUGUCUGAUUUUGAACUGAUUAUAGCCCUCAACUAUCGUGCUGUCAUUUAAGUUCAAUGCAAUUUCCAAUACCAUCCUCUCUGGAAUUCUAUAUCGGUAUAUGAUGACAUUGACGCAUGCAGUAGCCUCUAUCCGUUUGAUGAAGUAAUUAAUGAUCUCAAUAGUGAAGCAAUAUUCAUUAGAAGUCUUCGAUAAUGGUGAUGUACAUGCCCCAUCUUGCUCAAAAUUUGAGUCGCCAUUUUCGAGUUUUCAACUCAAAUCUACAUUUGGUCAAAGCGCCCCUUUGCGGGUUUUCACCUUGACUUCUCCUUUUUCCUUUUUCUUUUUUUCUUCUCUCUUUUUCAUUUUCAUUUUGACUUUGAUCUUGAUUUUUGAUUUUGAUUUUGAUUUUUGAUUUUUUUUGUUUUUGAUUUUUUUUAAUCUUAACCCUUUCGAUCAGAAUCAAUGUUUUUAGAGAUAAGAUUUCUCACUUUCAUCUUGUAUGCGAAAAACCCUCUUUGGUAUCAGGUUCCUUUCAUAGAGCCUUCUGGGGCGAAACUAUGAUAGAAAACUUUGGAUCUUCCUCUUCAAUCAGGAUAAAAUCCAACAAAACUUGAAGAGAUAGAAACUCAACUUCAAACGGGCAAAGCUAUACUGAGUUAACAAGAAAGGCAUUGCCCCGACAUUUCAUUAUCAGUGCUUAACCCGGCAUAUCCUGGUAUGAUUCUACAAAGACAUCUUUGAACAAGGUCUUGCUUCAUCUUUGAGGUCAGGUCAAUUCUAAUCUUUACCGAACUCAGAAUUCCUAAUGAUUCCUUGUGAGGUAGGAUCUGCCUAUCCUCCUGCUCAACCAUCCUCAAUAAGUCCGGAGGUAAGCUACAAUCUUUGUCAUUUCAAAGUCCUGAGAUCCCUCUGAACACAUACAUUGCUCAAAAGGAAAAUCUGGGUCUGUAGCAGAGUCAUUCACGUAAUUAAUAUCCAGGGAUCCAUAAUAAGUACCGAAGAAUGUACAAAAGAAUGUAUAAAUUCAUGAAUAAUUAUUUGUACAAUAUGAUUAUGAAUGAAUGAAUGAUAGUUUGGAAGAAAAUCUAUAAGAAUGAAAGAAUAUAGAAUUAUUCGUAAAGAAUGGAAACAUUGGCUCAAAAAUAAUUGCAAAAAUGUAUUUCAUUAAAAUAAUAACGUUCAGACAUAAGCCUAUUUCACAAAGGAAUUUCUAUCAUUUCUAGGCUAAAAACAACAAAAAUGUUCUGAACAUUACUUUAAAAAGCUCUAGAGACUAUAGGGUUUUCUUCCGCAAUCGAAUUGUUUAGAACACACCAGAUUUAUAAGGGCAGAUAUUUAACAAGGUCCCUUCUUCAGUUGCUUGUGCAUUGCAUUCACUCCAUUUAUCAAUUAUGAUUGGGUAAUGGAUUCGCCGCACUAGAGGAAGCAUCAAAUUUAACGACGCCCAUACUGAUAAGCCUUUCAAUCAAUUUUUUAAAGGCAAUGCAGUUUUCUAUGGAAUGCCCCGUAUUUCCCGCAUGAUAUUCGCAUUGUGCAUUUGUGUCAUGCCAUCUGGGGUACAGAGGUUGUGGAGGCUUUGUGUAGAGAGGGGCAACAAUGCGCACGUUGAAUAAGCUUUGAUACAACUCCUUAUACGACAUCAGAAUUGGCAUAAACUGAAGGUUCUCAGUGCCUUGUUUCACAUAAGGUUCUUGUUUUGAUGAACCUUGUUGGCUAGCGACCCCUUUACCUGGAUGACUUAUUGACCUUGAGUAACUUGUGUUGUUCACCUCAUUUUCUCUUCUCCUUGGGGUUGACCUCUUAUCAGACUCUUGCGCCUCAUUUUUUCCGGCUCUUAUAGCAUUCUCAAUCAUUUCGCCAUUCAUAACUAUAUCUGAGAAACUUUCGGUUGCACUUCCCAGUAUGUGCGUAAUGAACGAGGGCUUUAGUGUAUUGAUGAAGAGCAUUGUCGUCUCUUUCUCCAAGAGGGGUGGCAAACCUGGACUGCAACUUCCCUCCACCUCUGUGCAUGCUGCCUAAAACUUUCGCUCGAUUUCUUUUUCAUGUUUUGCAAGGUGAUUCUAUCAGGAACCACAUCCGUUACAUGACCGUAUUGUUUUAUGAAUGCCUGUGCUAAGUCCCUCCAUGAACCAAUCUCAGUACGGCUCAGCUGAUUGUACCAUUUCGAUCCUGCCCCAAUGAGGCUAUCCUAAAAAUAAUGUAUUAAUAGCUGAUCAUUGUUAAUAUACCCAGUCAUUCUCCUACAGAACAUGGUGAUAUGGGCUUUUGGGCAACUGGUCCCACUAUAUUUCUCAAAUUCAGACAUCUUAAACUUGUGAGGGAGUACUAAGUCUGGAACCAAGCUCAGAUCUUUCGCAUCGAUUCCCUGGUGACUAUCGACGCUUUCUAGGGCUUUAAAUUUUUCCUCCAACCAUUUACACCUAUCCUCUCAUGGUUUCGACAGUUUGACGUUUGCCUUCUCUUUUUCGACCAUUUCAUCGAAAUCAGGAAUAACAAGAUUCACUGGGUUAUCUCUAGGAUUAGAACCUGAUCCAGCCUAAAAUUUCAUCGGCAUUGAAACAUCAGUUUGAAACCGCUGAGGCCCAAUGGAAAUAGAGGACCUGCACGGAGGUACCUCGGUCUGAGUCUGCGUGUAGAGGCGUAAAGUCUAGAGGAUAGAUAGGUCUAUCCUUGUCUUCUCCUUCAUCUUUAACCAUAGGACCCUUCCCCUUAUUUACACCUUUAGUCAAUAGGUGGGCCAAUUCAGCCAUCGCAUCUUUUCGAGCCUUGAUCAAUUUUUCCGUAAUGUCUUCUUGAAUUUUAUCUAGCCGCUCUUGCAUUUGCACUUGUAACCGUUCCUGCAUAUCCUUUUGCAUUUGCUCCAAUUUAUCUAAUCUUUGAUCCAUUUCCUUAGUUUUUUGACGAGUAUUGUAUUGGUGCUUAAUGGGUGAGCUUUUGUCAGUUUCCAGAUUAGCUAAAACAAAUUUACUUGUUUAGACUCUUUCAAUGGAUUUUAAUGCAUACGAUGCAGAUGUAUGAAAUGCAUGCCUACAGAGACAUUGAUUCUGCUUCAAUUACAUUUAGGAAACUUUUCUAGAAAGCAAAUUCCUUUACAUAAAACGGAUACAUGUACGGCCUCACCCUCAUAUUCCAAGAAACAACAUCUAUCUUCUUCUUCAUGCGCAUAAUCUCGCAAAUUUCCAAUAUAUGCCAUUACUAGCUCCUUUUCUUGAUCUUGGUCGCGAUCCAUCAUCUGUCCAUUUUCAUAAGGUUCGUCAGAUUCUUUAAGGGGGUUGGGAUGUCGAAGGCUCUUAGACAGUCGCCUUGAAUCCUCAGGCCACGAAGCAGGGUCACGAACUCUUCCAUCUCCAUUCUUGUCUUUCUCAGAAUAUAUUCGGGAAGUCGUAUUGUUUUCCACUUUAUCAAGGAAUUCAUAUUCCAUGACAAGCUUUCUAAUUUAGUAAUCGAACUUGAAUCAAUAUAUCUUUCCUAAGAUGCAAAUGCAAUGUAAUGCAAUCAUAAUCAAAACACAACAAGAGGGGUUAGAACAAAACAUAAGCAAGCACGGAAAACAAAAAGUACCUAAUCAAGUAAAUACUAGGGAUUUGUAGUGGCUCUACCUAGGUUAAGUUCCUAAGUUCACUAUAUGAGGGUUGGUUCUAAAGUCAAGGUACCCGAACCAGCAGAUUCCUCGAUCUUCACCCAUUAUAGGCUCAUACAGACCAAGUUCGGUUUAGGGGAAUACAUUUCCCUAUGGCUGCACGGAGAUGAAAAUCUCACGAAGACAUAGGUACGGAUGUAUCCCGGAAGUGAUCCAUUAUCCUGCACGGAGGUGAAAACCUCACGAAGGACUAGUUUCUCACUCCCACUUAAAAGGACAAGACUAAACAAUCUUAUGCAAAAUGAUGCCAAAAUAUACAAAUCAAUUUACAAUAAUCAUGCAAACAAGCGCAAAGAAAAGAUCGUAAAUUUUUUAAAUCAAAUUUCAGUUUUCGACAAUAAGACAGAAACAAUCAAUUUUACGGCCUAACUCUCUAAAGGCGUCCCCAGCGGAGUCGCCAAGCUAUCGAAACCAUUUUUUUGAAAUUUGAAAAAUGGGCAUCGAUUUUGAAAAUGGAAAUGGAGUCGCCACCGAUCUUUUAUUGUGGUGUGAUCAGAUCACCUUGAAAAUAAAUUUAGGUCUGCGAAUUUUUGAGAAAACAGGUUCGGGAGUCGAUUACGCACGAGGAAGGGUUAGCACCCUCGUGACACCCAAAAUUGGUACCGAUUUGAUUGUUUAAUGUCUUAAUGUCGAAAUUUUGAAAAGAUUUUAAAAUACGAUCCUUUUAUUUUGAAUGAAUUGGAAGAUAAGGCUCAUUUAUUUUAAAGAAAUAAAUUGUUACACUCAGUAAGUUAGAGUGCAAUAUUUCGAAUCCUCAAAAUUAAGCUUAUCCUUGAUUUUUAAAACCUAUGCGUUUUGAGAAGGAUAUCCGAUUAUUUGGAUUCGAUGAGAAAAUCAAAACCCAGUAAGUUAGCGUUCAAUUUCACAAAAUUCCUAAAUAUCGAACAUUGCCUUUAUUUUAUUUUAUUUUUGAAAUCCUCAUCUCGAGAAAAUAACAUGUCAUAUCCAAUGCGUUAGGACACAACGUAUCGAAUUCCCGAGAAUGGGUUUUUAUUUGAAACUUGUAUGUUUAAAAAAAUAUUCGAUUUUUUAGAUUCGACGAGGAAAAUUGGAACCCAAUACGUUAGGGCUCAAUUCUCUCGAGGAUUCCAAACUUCGAGUAUUUUUGAAAGUUUUUUUGAAUGAAAUAACUUUGUAAUUUGUAAUCUUUUGAAUGAAUAAAAAUGAUUGUAUAAUAAUGUACCAUGCGAAUUGAUUAUUCGUAAAUUAAAACGUCUACUAAUGAAUAUCAAAGAAGCGAGAUGCAUGAGCAAACAAUACAAUUUACGUAAGAGCAAUUAUCUCACAUAACGUAUUACAAAUAUUAACAUUAAAAGCAAAUGAAUUAUAAGGAAUAUCAAGCAAAUAAAUACAAACAAAGUAUAAUAAGUUUUAAAGUAAAAUAAUAAUAAAAACAUGCAAGGGAGAAGAUUCAAAAUUUAUCAAUGUACAAUAAAUUAUAUGCAUAAAAUUUCUUCAUAAUAAUGUAAAUACAUACGAGUUUGCAAUAGAUUUAAAGGAAAAUAAAAGAAAUACUAUAUAAAGAAUAUAAUAACGAAAUGAAUUUAAAGCUAAUACACAAGGAAAAUAUAUAAUAUACCAAAUAAUAUACAUACAUAAUAAUAUAUAAAAAGGUUGAAACAAGUGACAUAUGACGUAGGUUUUUUUUAAGAAAAUAAUUAUAUAUGUAUGUAAAAGAAAAUGUUGGUUUAAAAAUAUAUUAACAUAUUUACAAGACAACUUUAAGGUAAAUAAUUAUAAUUAAAGGAAAUCUAUCAUAUGUGAGGUAAAAAUAAUUUUAAUGAAAGUUAUAUGUAUAAAAUAUAUAUAUAUAGUUUAAAAUAAACAAUAUAUAUUACGUAUGUACAUAUGUAUUAUGAAAUAGUUUCAAAAAAUAAUAGUAUAAUAAAAUAACAUAUAAAUAGGUACAUAGCAGUAUAAUAAUAAAUAGUAAUAAAAAUAAUAAUAAUAGUAAAAACAAUAGAAUGACUAAUUUGAAAUCAAGGUUGAAAUUUAAGAGCCAAUGCAAAAUAAAUAUAACGGCGCAAACCACAUUGAACACGCGAGCAACAAAGAGGGGUCAAAAGGAAAUUAAUCCCUACCCCUUAAAACGCUGCGUUUCAAUAAGGGUCGAAGUGAAAUCAGAAGAAAAUUACACGGCCAAGAUUAAAAUAGCAAAAAACCAGAUUGAACUACUGCAUGAAAUAAAAGGGACUUAGUAUGCAAAUAUCCCCUCCCCAACCAAGACGUGGGGAUCAAGCCGCAUUCGGGUCUGGUCACCGGGUCAAAGCACCAAACGGUGCCAUUUUUGAAAACAUUUAAACGAAAAAAACCUAAAUCUAAAGGUUUUCAUCCGAAAUGACAGAAGAAAGGCAGAGCGCCGCUUGGUUUUUCAUCCUCUGUCCCAGCUCUGCCCUUCAGAUCCCUAUCUGCUCCCAUUGCAACGAGAGAAAUAGGGAUCCGACUGUCGCACUAUGGAGGUAAACUCUCAUCCUUAAGCCUCUCUUUUUCUUUGUUCUAUGUGUUCGCAAACAAAGUAGCAAAAAGGAAAAGAAAACAGUAAAAGACGAAGGAAAAAAAUGGAAUAUACCUCUGAAAUUUUUUUGUUUUUUUUCAAUCUUUUUCGUAUUCAAUCUGUGGAUGCCAAAAAGAAAAAUUCUUUUACAGUGUUUUUUAAUCGGCCUUAUAUCCGAAUCGAAUAGAAGAGAAAAAAUAAAAUACCAAAACAAAAGAAUAAAAAUCCCUCUUUGCUCUUAUUUUCUACUAUUUUUGUUGUCGUUUCUGCCUUUUCUGCUUUGUUGCGUUGUUUUCUGUUCGUUUCUGCAGGUACGGAUGUGCGCGGGCGUGCGUACGAAGUGGCUCGUGCGGUACUGGAGCUGGGCAGAGGCAGGAGCGUGUGGAGGAUCGUGGGGCCGAGGGGAGGCUGCGGCGCUCAUGCUGAGUACCUAGGGUUUCUGCAAUUAGGUUGGGCUUUGGGUUGAGUGAUUUGGGUUAGGUCUUCUGAUUUAGCGGGCUAGGCUAGUUGGGCUUAAUGGGCUGGGGACAUGUAUUUGGGUUAGAUCUUCUGAUUUAGCGGGCUAGGCUAAAUUUUGGUUCUAAUUUUGGGUUAUUUGGGCUCGGUGGGUCUGUAAAUGGACAUUUGGACUGUUAUUAAUUUUGUUUGGUUUAUUUUUGUUUUUGAUUUGAUUUUAUAUUACGGGCCGGGCAAAAUGGCCUAUUACACAUAUUUUUCUCAUAUUUUUAAAUUUGUUUCAAACUGAUCCAAAUUGAUUGCCUGCUUAGUUUUAACUUUCUGUAAGUUCGAUAUUAACCCGUAAUUUAUUGAAACACAUGUUAAUUUAUUUAA
rnacentral:lncRNA from 1 species